GACGAACGCUGGCGGCGUGCCUAAUACAUGCAAGUAGAACGCUGAAGGAGGAGCUUGCUUCUCCGGAUGAGUUGCGAACGGGUGAGUAACGCGUAGGUAACCUGCCUGGUAGCGGGGGAUAACUAUUGGAAACGAUAGCUAAUGCCGCAUAACAGUAGAUAUUGCAUGAUAUCUGCUUGAAAGGUGCAAUUGCAUCACUACCAGAUGGACCUGCGUUGUAUUAGCUAGUUGGUGAGGUAACGGCUCACCAAGGCGACGAUACAUAGCCGACCUGAGAGGGUGAUCGGCCACACUGGGACUGAGACACGGCCCAGACUCCUACGGGAGGCAGCAGUAGGGAAUCUUCGGCAAUGGACGGAAGUCUGACCGAGCAACGCCGCGUGAGUGAAGAAGGUUUUCGGAUCGUAAAGCUCUGUUGUAAGAGAAGAACGAGUGUGAGAGUGGAAAGUUCACACUGUGACGGUAUCUUACCAGAAAGGGACGGCUAACUACGUG
rnacentral:rRNA from 1 species